UACGUAGGUGGCGAGCGUUAUUCGGAAUCACUGGGCAUAAAGCGCGUGUAGGCGGCCGCGCAAGUCGGGUGUGAAAUCCCACGGCUCAACCGUGGAACUGCGCCCGAUACUGCGUGGCUCGAGGCUGGUAGGGGAGAGUGGAAUUCCUGGUGGAGCGGUGAAAUGCGUUGAUAUCAGGAGGAACGCCGGCGGCGAAAGCGGCUCUCUGGUCCAGUUCUGACGCUGAGACGCGAAAGCCAGGGGAGCAAACGGG
rnacentral:rRNA from 1 species